rnacentral:misc_RNA from 1 species
GAUGAAGAACGUAGCGAAAUGCGAUAAGUAAUGUGAAUUGCAGAAUUCAGUGAAUCAUCGAAUCUUUGAACGCACCUUGCACCCUUUGGCAUUCCGAAGGGUAUGCUCGUUUGAGUGUCAUUGUACUCUCACACUUCCAAUUCUUUGGAUUGGGAGCGGUGGACUUGGGUGCUGCUGCUUACCGUGGCUCACCUCAAAUGUGUUAGUGCAACCGUUGGUUAGACAUAGUACAGCGUGAUAAGUAUCUUCGCUGGCGCCUCACUCGAGGGUGGCUGAUCAGGGCUCUGUGCCCCCAAUCGUCUUCGGACAAUCACUGACAACUUGACCUCAAAUCGAGUAGGACUACCCGCUGAACUUAAGCAUAUCAAUAAGCGGAGGA